rnacentral:tRNA from 1 species
GUUGUGGCUCAGUGGCAGAGAGCCUGCCUGGCAUGUGUGAGGCACUGGGUUCAAUCCUCAGCACCACA